AUACUUACCUGAUAAGGGAAUACCACAUUCAAGAAGGCGAUUUUCACAGUGUAAGGCUUUUCUGUUGUGCUCUAUUGGGGUUGUUCCUUGUGAUUUCUGCAAAGGUGGAUAAUUUCAACUGCAAUAUUUAUGGCAGUGGAGUAUCUUGUUCAUGCCGUUUCC